AAUGGGCGCAAGCCUGAUCCAGCCAUGCCGCGUGAGUGAUGAAGGCCCUAGGGUCGUAAAGCUCUUUCGCCAGGGAUGAUAAUGACAGUACCUGGUAAAGAAACCCCGGCUAACUCCGUGCCAGCAGCCGCGGUAAUACGGAGGGGGUUAGCGUUGUUCGGAAUUACUGGGCGUAAAGCGCGCGUAGGCGGACUAGUCAGUCAGAGGCGAAAUCCCAGGGCUCAACCCUGGAACUGCCUUUGAUACUGCUAGUCUUGAGUUCGAGAGAGGUGAGUGGAAUUCCGAGUGUAGAGGUGAAAUUCGUAGAUAUUCGGAGGAACACCAGUGGCGAAGGCGGCUCACUGGCUCGAUACUGACGCUGAGGUGCGAAAGUGUGGGGAGCAAACAGGAUU
rnacentral:rRNA from 1 species